GGGCCCGCACAAGCGGUGGAGUAUGUGGUUUAAUUCGAUGCAACGCGAAGAACCUUACCAGGGUUUGACAUCCUGCGAAUUUCUGGGAAACCGGAAAGUGCCUUCGGGAGCGCAGUGACAGGUGGUGCAUGGCUGUCGUCAGCUCGUGUCGUGAGAUGUUGGGUUAAGUCCCGCAACGAGCGCAACCCACGUCUUUAGUUGCCAGCAUUUAGUUGGGCACUCUAGAGAGACCGCCGGUGAUAAACCGGAGGAAGGUGUGGAUGACGUCAAGUCAUCAUGCCCCUUACAUCCUGGGCUACACACGUACUACAAUGGUAUCUACAACAGGAAGCAAAACGGCGACGUUAAGCAAA
rnacentral:rRNA from 1 species